AAUAAGGAAAAGAUACAUAGUUUAGUUUUAGUCUUUAUGUAUUCUAUUUCUUUUGAAUGGCAAUCAAUCGCUCCUUUUUUUCCAGUUGUCUUGUAAAUUUGACCCUUAGCCCCAUGGGAAACUGAAAAAAUAUCAGACGGCUCAGUAAAAUUUAUUCCCUUUAUUUUAAAUAUAACUCACAGAAUCUUUUCCCAUGUUUGUUGAUGAUAAAUUUACUGUCAUGUCAUCUCAGUAGGACUAUAACGUCAUGCUGAAGAUAUGUCUGUGAAGAGUUUUGUACUGAGAACGUCACACCAGGACAACGCCUCGAAGGGCAUUGAUUGCAACCUUGGGAUUUAUACUCCCAAAGGUCCCAGUCAAGGAAAGAGUAUCUCAUUAUUCUUUUUGUUUUCAUAAAGCUACCAUUUACACUGGGAUAAAGGGUCCAUCCCCUGAUACCUUGAAUGCCCUGAAGUAUUCCCACAUUCUGCUAAAAAGCAAAUCUUUUGGACAAACUCAGGCUCUCUUUUCUGUAGCAAUGACAAUCAGUUAUUUCCAGACUGUUCUCCCUAGUUAGAUUUAAACACUGGCAAAAAUGUCAUAAGAAGGCAAUCAGAUUGAUGUUUUUAGGUUGUAUAAAGAGAGCCUUUUCAUCAGUUUAUACAUGAUGAGGUCGUAGACCAUGAAGAGAGGGACGGAACAUGGACAAACACAGGAAGACUCACAAUAAUUGAAAAUGACAAAAGGCCAAAGGGACACCAUGUAUCGUCAGAGGGAGGAUGAAGCCUUCAAGGGAUGUAGGGAGUUGACUGCAGGUCCUGGAGAAGCUGAUGGAGGCCAAGUCAAUGUUGCAAGGAGACAUGAGACUCACAUCAGAGUUCUAUGGUUUCACCUGGGAGAUGGUGUCUGGCCCCUCUGCUGUAGGACUGCUGACGUCUACUCCCAGCUCUGAUUGCCUGGGGAUCACCUGCAGCAGCUGCAGAACAGUAAGGAUUGCUACCAGUUUUUUCUUCUGCUAUUUUUGUGCCAGAGUGAUGCCCACCAAAUGUCAGUCUGAUCAGUCCUUUGUGAGGUGACUGUUUGGAUAUACCGGGGUCAGGGAGCUGAUUGAGGAGACAGUCCAUCCCUUAUAGGAGCUCGAGUGCUGAGCUGUGAGCUCCAUUAUUGAGAGCUGCUGGGCAGGUAUGUUUAAGUCUGCUGCAGCAGAACUCAUAAACCCCCUUUUUUCCCCUGAGGUGCUCUGUCCUGGGGAGUUAGGGCUUUAUUUAUGAGUUUCCAUUGUGCUGCUGCCUUUUUUUCAGGGCUGCCCUGCCCAGCAAGGAGGCAGCCUAGUCACUGUCUGCCUGCAGAGGCUUUGCUGAGCUGUUGUGGGCUCUGCCCAGCUGCUGUGUGAACAUCCCUGCAUUCCUGUUUAUAUGGGUGUGGUUAGAAUUGCCUUGGCAAUGGUGACCCACCUCUGUAAUGGUGGACUGUCUCUGUUAUGGCCAGUUGCCUGGGCAAUGGUGGGCUGCUUCAGCCAUGGCAGACUACCUCUGUAGGGCUGGAGUGCCUCGGUAAUGGUGGACACCCCUCACCCACACAGCUGGAUUGUCCCAGGUUCACCUGUGCUUGUCGUGAAACUCUCAAUUUAGAGCGUUUCCCAUUGCUGUUUUUGUGUGUUGGGGGGGGUGGGACCCACCAAGCCUGAUCACCUGGCUCCCUGCCUCAGAGCCUUUUUUUUUUUUUUUUUAGGUUGAAUGGUUGACUCUCUCCCAGGUUUUUCAGUCACCUGCUGACAAGGUGCCGGGAUCUGUGUGAUUUCCUGUGCAGUGACCCACUGUGCCAGCUGAAACAAUGGUGCUGCCCUGGAAUCUCCUGGCCUGGCUCCCUGUUUUUGUCCCCUGUUUAAUCAGAUGAAUGGCUGACUCUGCCUUCCCAGAGCUCCAAUUGCUGGCUUAAAAGGUCUGCCAGACCAGUGUAUUUUGUAUGGAGAACCGCUGCACCAGAGCACCAGCAAAAUAGCCGUGCUGGCCAAAAUAGCCAUGCUGGCAUCCUGUGGGGCUUCUCUGCCUGUGAAUCUCCUGGUCUGUGGGCAGUAAAGAUCCAGCUGGAAAUAUGGCAUCCACUCACCCUCUGUGCUUUCACUGGGAGCUGCAAUCCUGAGCUGGUCCUAAACUGCUAUCUUGGAUCUUCCCCCUACCAGGUUUUUUUGAAGUUUUUGCUCAGAUAUCUUUUCAGACAACCUUUUCCUGAUCAUAAAGACAGAGCUUAGGCAAUGCUGAUUUCAUGCCUUCAUUGGAGCUCAAGACAUACUGCUUUGCAAUUUGUCUACUUUCUUGUCUGUCAUUUUUCAGUACAGCAAAUUCUCUUGACCAUAGAAAAUGUUGUGAAUAUUGUUCACCUUUAUAUGUGACUAAGAAGUACCUAGCCUAAUAGCUAUGCAUACUGCUUCUGUUUGCUCCUGAGAUAUUUACUGAGUGCUUGCCAUGGCCAAAUAUUGUGCUAGAACCAGGCCUACAAUGGGGACAGAUCCUAUCUUUAAGAAGCCUUCUAGUGAUGGAUAUGGAUAAACAGCCAAUAAAAAUAGAGUGUAAUAAAAGAGGAGUUUACUUAAUUUUUUUUUUAAUAUUUAGAAAAGGCCAGAGAAAACUUCUGGAGGAAAAAGUAAAUUUAAAAUAAUACAUAGGUAUCUAUGAGAUCUUGAGAAUAUUGCUUUAAUUUUUUCCAAAAACAGAACCUGAGGAAAGGAUUUGUGUGUAAGUAAUUUAUUUGGGAGGUGCUCCCAGGAGGAAGAAUUAUGAGUGAGGAGAGUGAGGGAGGAAUGGAAGAAAAGCCAGGAAAAGGUGUAGUGUUGAACUGCAUACUUCUGUUGGCAAAUGGGAGGUAGAGCACCCUUUAUAUUUUCCUUUUGUAAUUCCAGAGAUUGGAGCAUUUAUCUACUGACUGACUCUUCUGCUGGAGGAGAGUCACUUCCAGAGACAUCAACCCCCUUAUAUUUCUGGCUGCCUUGGCUUCAGAAACAAUUCAAGCCAGAUAGUGGGGGAAUACGUGUAGAGGGAGAGAGGGGGUUGUGGGAACUGUCCAGCAGAGCUUUGGCUGAAAUCACUUCAAGCUGACCAUGUGCAAUACUGAGGGCCUUGGCCAUCUCCCCAUUAAGUUAAAAAAAUACACUGCCUUGGGAGGCUAAGUCGGGUGGGUCACGAGGUCAGGAGUUCAAGACCAGACUGGCCAACAUAGUGAAACCCCAUCGGUACUAAACAUACAAAAAUUAGCAGGGCAUGGUGGUGUUUGCCUGUAGUCCCAGCUACUCAGGAGGCUGAGGCAGGAGAAUUGCUUGAACCUGGGAGGUGGAGGUUGCAGUGGGCCGAUAUUGCUUCACUGCUCUCCAGCCUGGCAACAAAGCGAGGCUCUGUCUCAAAAAAAGUACCUUGCCCCUAAAACUCAUGGGCAGACUUUCUCGGUUUAGGACAUCUUAAGAGCUAUGAAAACUGUCUUAGAAAUUCCUGCAGGCUCCCACAACUGUGAACUGUCAGGGCUCAGUGUGGGUUCCUUCGGUAAUUACCUGGCAAUUAUAAUUGGGAAAUAAAGCACUGGUAAAAUAAAUGUAUAAUAUAUUCAUGGAAUGUGUUUCAUUUAAACUUUCAGAAUAGGCUCUAGGACUUAGAAACUAAAACGUGUUUUAUAUUCUCUCAAAGCCUGAUUUAUCUCUGCCUCUUACCAUGCCUUAUCAAAUCAUUGGCUCCCUGAGAAAGCAACUGAUAUUGUUUCCUGAAAAUAUAACCACUCUUUACAUAGCAGGAGAACAAGUAGUCUAAGGGGAAAAAAGAAUAGGAUGCAUCUAAAUUAUCUGAAGCAUGCUUAAUAUUUGGUGGCCACAGUUUCCUCCUGGAGACGUGUAGAGAAGAAAGUGUGCCUUUGAAGAUCCCUACUGCUUAGGUUUCAGAAGAGAUUGAACAAAAUUUUAACCUCCACAAAUAAUUAUUUCCAAAACAAUGGCUAACAUUUUUUUUUAUGGAGUCUCGCUCUGUUGCAGGUGCAAUGACGUGAUCUUGGUUCACUGCAACCUCUGCCUCCCAGGUUCAAGCAAUUCUCCUGCCUCAGCCUCCUUAAUAGCUGUGAUUACAGGCAUGCACCCCCACACCCAGCUAAUUUUUUUAUUUUUAGUAGAGAUGGAGUUUUGCCGUGUUGGCUAGGUUGGUUUCAAACUCCUGGCCUUAGGUGAUCUGCCUGUUUCGGCCUCCUAAAGUGCUGGGAUGACAGGUGUGAGUCACCAUUCCCACCCUCUUCCUGUUAAGGUUUACGAACUUCCCCCAAUAAUGAAUCUUCUUUUCAAACUACUUUAUCAGUGAGAACUGUGGUUCUCUUCUGUCAUAGAGAGUGCCUGCGUUUU